GGGAAUAUUGCACAAUGGGGGAAACCCUGAUGCAGCGACGCCGCGUGAGUGAGGAAGUAUUUCGGUAUGUAAAGCUCUAUCAGCAGGGAAGAAAAUGACGGUACCUGACUAAGAAGCCCCGGCUAACUACGUGCCAGCAGCCGCGGUAAUACGUAGGGGGCAAGCGUUAUCCGGAUUUACUGGGUGUAAAGGGAGCGUAGACGGAAUUGCAAGUCUGAUGUGAAAAUCCGGGGCCCAACCCCGGGACUGCUCUUGGAACUGCGCGGCUGGAGUGCAGGAGGGGCAGGCGGAAUUCCUGGUGUAGCGGUGAAAUGCGUAGAUAUCAGGAGGAACACCGGUGGCGAAGGCGGCCUGCUGGACUGCGACUGACGUUGAGGCCCGAAAGCGUGGGGAGCAAACAGG
rnacentral:rRNA from 1 species